rnacentral:rRNA from 1 species
ACAGCAGCAGCCACGGUAAUACGAAGGGUGCAAGCGUUACUCGGAAUUACUGGGCGUAAAGCGUGCGUAAGUGGUGGUUUAAGUCCGUUGUGAAAGCCCUGGGCUCAACCUGGGAAUUGCAGUGGAUACUGGGUCACUAGAGUGUGGUAGAGGAUAGUGGAAUUUCCGGUGUAGCAGUGAAAUGCGUAGAGAUCGGAAGGAACAUCUGUGGCUAAGGCGACUAUCUGGGCCAACACUGACACUGAGGCACGAAAGCGUGGGGAGCAAACAGGAUUAGAUACCCCAGUAGUCCCUGUCUCUUAUAC